rnacentral:rRNA from 1 species
GACGAACGCUGGCGGCGUGCCUAAUACAUGCAAGUAGAACGCUGAAGAGAGGAGCUUGCUCUUCUUGGAUGAGUUGCGAACGGGUGAGUAACGCGUAGGUAACCUGCCUUGUAGCGGGGGAUAACUAUUGGAAACGAUAGCUAAUACCGCAUAACAAUGGAUGACACAUGUCAUUUAUUUGAAAGGGGCAAUUGUUCCACUACAAGAUGGACCUGCGUUGUAUUAGCUAGUAGGUGAGGUAAUGGCUCACCUAGGCGACGAUACAUAGCCGACCUGAGAGGGUGAUCGGCCACACUGGGACUGAGACACGGCCCAGACUCCUACGGGAGGCAGCAGUAGGGAAUCUUCGGCAAUGGGGGCAACCCUGACCGAGCAACGCCGCGUGAGUGAAGAAGGUUUUCGGAUCGUAAAGCUCUGUUGUAAGUCAAGAACGGGUGUGAGAGUGGAAAGUUCACACUGUGACGGUAGCUUACCAGAAAGGGACGUCUAACUACGUG